rnacentral:lncRNA from 10 species
CAGAUAAUUAGAAUCACAUAAAGAGUGAUCUCUAAUUGGAUCCAGAUGUGAAGGAGUCAGCAGACAUCCACUAAAGGGAAACUGUACAAAAUAACAAAGAAACAAAUGGAAUUGCAAUGCGGAAGUUUAUGAAGAAUGAUGGGCUGAAUGAGUAUAAAGCCUUUCAGGCAGCUUUUAGUGACACACUUGAAGAAAUUUAUUGUUUCGUUGAGCAUUAUUACAGAUCAGCAUUGUCAAGAACCAAUGGUGUUCCCUGAAGAAAGAAUACAACAUGGGACACAGGACUCUCAGAAAGUAAUUGGCACAUCUUUGAAGCAGCUGUCCAGUGGUUCUUGGAGCCUCACUGCUAAACCGUCAGUAAGAGCAGUGAUAUCCAACCUUUCUGGCACCCAGAGACCACCGGACCUCCUUUUCUACAAUCAAGCCAAACCAGUUCCUGUUGUUGGUGCCAAGAUAGACUACAGCUGGAAAUUCCCCAAAUGACCAACAGAUCACCUGGUGCCAACUGACUGACCACCAGGAAGAGCGACUAUUGACUUUGGGCUUAAAAGUCAUCUAAUCCACACUGUUUCUCACUCCCCUGACUACCCUCCUCUGCCCUGAGGUUUUUUUGCCUUUAUAAUCUCCUAUUCACUGACCCUGCCUGAGAGCAUGAUUUCUUUUUACACCAGGGGCUGCAUCUCCCCAAUCUGCAAAUUGUUUCUUAUGGAAAAUGAAGCUUUCUCUUUUCCUUCCACAGAUCUCAUGGUCUUUUGUUACAAGGAACCUGUCUCAAGACAGUCAUACUCUGUUAAUUCACUAUAACACUAAGAACCUCAAUGGAGUUCAGGUCUAUGAGAAUGAUUCAUUCAUAACAUCUAUCACCUUAAAAUUUAUUGACUAGGGCCUAAGGCACAACUGCCUUGCCCUGGGCUGAAUUCUACCCUAGGGCAGAGUUUUCGGUGGCCUCGGUGUACUCUUAGUAGUAUUUCUACUAAAAAGCCAACAUAGAGGGCAUAGACUCCAAGCCUUAGAGACUCAAACAAGAAACAACAUUUGACCAUUCCAUGCCCUCCAAAUCUAUUGGAUGCCACCAAACAAAGGCAAAAAAAAAAGCAGAUUUCAUAACACGAAAAACAAUAUAUUCUCUAUCUUUCAGCAUUGUGAGGGAAGGUGUCUGGUCUGGAAUCAUUUCUCAGUAUAAUGCACACCCCAAAGCAGCUUAACACAGCGGUAAGCCUAGAUGAAAGCAUUCAUGUCAAUUACAUGGAAAUGUUCUUUCACCAAGAUUGAGAAGCCACACUUGGGACAUUCAGUCCUCUAGACAAAAUGUAUUUGAAAUGGAAACUGAGAAAGCAAAGAGAAGCAUUUGUUCCUUUCCAGGUGAGAGGCAAGAGAAAGUCUUGUGUAAGAUAGCUGCUAGAAAUCCAGGCUGUUCUCUUCAGAACUCUCGUUCUCAGAUUUGCUAGGGUCUUUCCUUUGGUAGAAAGAGCUGAUUGCACUUCUAAAGGCAGCUUGACCUUUGCCCCAUCCCACUAGCUGAAUGAAACCAAGAAAGACUGCUUGAAUGCUUACACCCCUAAAGCGGAUUUGUAUUUAUAAAGUAGCCAAAGCUGUACUUGGCAAUGAUUUCACAAACAGAGAGACAAAUUCACAGGAGUGAGAAUAACUCUCUCACAAACUUUACCAUACUUUACACUUUGUUGGGAAGUCAGCAGAGAACUUCACACUUCAUUGAAAAUCCAUUAAACAAUUACCAGGUCAUUAGCACAGACUUUGAAGUACUAGCUUUCAAACUCCCUUACUAAAGAAAGCUCUUUGCUAGACCUUCAGCUGCCUUUGCAAGUGUAGUCCUAAGGAGCUUUAACAGAUAACCAAAACAGACAAACAUUAAAAAAAAAAAAAAAAGUGUACUCACUGAAAAAUAAAACAAAGCAUCAUGCAUGAAUCAUUUAAUGAAUCAAUUAUAUAACAGUAUAUGUUACAUAAUACUGUCAUAUGUAUUACUGUCUCUCAAUUGUAUCUGGAUAAGUAAAGUAGAUAAUCCGUAAAUGUUGGUUGAUUCAGGAAUAUGUUUCCCUAGACAAUCACAAACAACUACUGAGUGACUACCAAGGCUUUACUGCUUUUGUGCCAACCACCCUCAUUUGUAUCUCUAGCCCAGAUCUCUUCCUUGAACACCAAACUAGCAUUUUCUACUAUUCACUUGGCAUCUCAUCUGGAUGUCUACUAAACCUCUCAAACACAAUAUGCUCAAAACUGAACUCUUGAUCUUUACCGAAACCUGCUCUCCACCUCAGGUACUGGCAAUUCCAUUCUUCCAAUAGCUGAAAUCAGUGUUUUUUUUUUCUUUUCGUCUUUACUGAAGUAUAAAAGACAGAUGAUAAACUGCAC